UUCUUUUCUAUUCAGCUAACAAGUCUCUGAAUUUUUGUUGAAUUUUCCUUCCAGUCAAAUGGCGUAGUGCCCACGACACAAAACCCGCCUACAGCCAGCACCAAAUGGAGAGGACGCAGAAAACUAAGCAAGUGCGAAACACGUCGCUGAAUUCGAUUUGAAAAUUGUUGUGAUCAGUAAAAAACAAAAGUGCCAACUCGUUUUCAAAUGCGUGUCCUUUCUCCUCGAACUUGUAUUCGCACUCGUAUUGUGUUCAUUUGAAUUUCGCCAACUGUCGAUGUCUGUGGAUGUGCGCGAUAGAAUAUUUGCAUCGCCAGCAAAAGUGGCUUCUGUCAUGGCUACUAUUUGUAGCCUCGUUGCUGGAGGACACUGGCCGGACGAUUGCAGUUUCCAUGUAUUCAGGAAAUGCCUUUUGUGAUGGGACUUAAGUACUAAAUGUGAUAGAGGCUACUGCCAGAAGGUUCUCAGCCUGAGGAACCCCGAUCUACCACGCUCAGUGAGGCGGCUACUUCGUCAACUGCCUUACUUCCAAGCACAGUCUUCAUUAGUAGGACUCGAAAAUCAUGUGCCACAAGUUUGCGACCAUCCACAGCCGGAACUUGCCUAAAAGGAAGCCAGUGCCGAACCAGAAACAGCAGCCAACACCAAAACCAAAGUCCAAAGCCUCGUCCAACCGCAUACCAGAGGGAGUCGAGGAGAAGGGAGGCUCGCAGCGACGACAACAACACCAAGAGCCUCCUGAGCCGAUCGAGGACAAGGGGCAGCGAACGGCGUCCAGUGGGACAUUAAGCCUUUUUAGCUAGCUAAGUUACUAACUUCUGAACGUUCAGCUUCUAAGUGAUAUAUGAUUUUAUAUGGAAUUUUACACCUGCGAUAGGCCUUACUUGUCUGUUUUUCAUGGUCUCUUAAAUAGAUCAGUAUGCGCUUUUAAACGCGCUUCUGAACGCUCAUAAAAACCUUAAACUUUUGACACCUCUUAUCGGGUGAUGUCCCACUGUACGCCGCUAAAUUAAACGCUGUGCUUCAGCUGCGAGAUGCAGGACUUAUUUACACUGCGCUACGCCACAACCCGAGUCGUAUCCGAUUUCGCUCUGCUAGACGGAGUUCUGUCCAUGCAUUAUCGAGGCUAUUCGAGACAGAACGAGUCCUAUCCCAGACGAAUAGGACAGACAUCAGGACAAAUGCGCACGACUUGCCAAAACGGAACCUAACAAGCAAUCGUCAUCCUUCGAACUGGCCAUCCACAACAAGGACUUUGACUAUUUUAACCAAUGCGAGGGGAUACGCGGGCUACUAGACUCUAGAUAGAUAUCGUUCUUGUUAGCUUUAAGGAUAUACUAU